AUACUUACCUGGCAGGGGUGAUACCAUGAUCAUAAAGGUGGUUUCCCCAGGACGAGGCUCACCCAUUGCACCCUGGGUGUGCUGACCCCUGCGUUUCCCCAAAUGUGGGAAACUCAAGUGUGUAAGUUGUGGUAGUAAGAGACUGCCUUCGUGCUCUCCCCUG